rnacentral:rRNA from 1 species
GAUCUCAAGGCCGAGAGCUGAUGACGAGUGUUCUUUAGAACACGAAGUGGUUGAUGCCAUGCUUCCAAGAAAAGCUUCUAAGCUUCAGGUAACCAGGAACCGUACCCCAAACCGACACAGGUGGUUGGGUAGAGAAUACCAAGGCGCUUGAGAGAACUCGGGUGAAGGAACUAGGCAAAAUGGCACCGUAACUUCGGGAGAAGGUGCGCCGGUGAGGGUGAAGCAUUUACUGCGUAAGCUCAUGCCGGUCGAAGAUACCAGGCCGCUGCGACUGUUUAUUAAAAACACAGCACUCUGCAAACACGAAAGUGGACGUAUAGGGUGUGACGCCUGCCCGGUGCCGGAAGGUUAAUUGAUGGGGUUAGCGCAAGCGAAGCUCUUGAUCGAAGCCCCGGUAAACGGCGGCCGUAACUAUAACGGUCCUAAGGUAGCGAAAUUCCUUGUCGGGUAAGUUCCGACCUGCACGAAUGGCGUAACGAUGGCGGCGCUGUCUCCACCCGAGACUCAGUGAAAUUGAAAUCGCUGUGAAGAUGCAGUGUAUCCGCGGCUAGACGGAAAGACCCCGUGAACCUUUACUAUAGCUUUGCACUGGACUUUGAAUUUGCUUGUGUAGGAUAGGUGGGAGGCUUUGAAGCGUGGACGCCAGUCUGCGUGGAGCCAACCUUGAAAUACCACCCUGGCAACUUUGAGGUUCUAACUCAGGUCCGUUAUCCGGAUCGAGGACAGUGUAUGGUGGGUAGUUUGACUGGGGCGGUCUCCUCCUAAAGAGUAACGGAGGAGUACGAAGGUGCGCUCAGACCGGUCGGAAAUCGGUCGUAGAGUAUAAAGGCAAAAGCGCGCUUGACUGCGAGACAGACACGUCGAGCAGGUACGAAAGUAGGUCUUAGUGAUCCGGUGGUUCUGUAUGGAAGGGCCAUCGCUCAACGGAUAAAAGGUACUCCGGGGAUAACAGGCUGAUACCGCCCAAGAGUUCAUAUCGACGGCGGUGUUUGGCACCUCGAUGUCGGCUCAUCACAUCCUGGGGCUGAAGCCGGUCCCAAGGGUAUGGCUGUUCGCCAUUUAAAGUGGUACGCGAGCUGGGUUUAGAACGUCGUGAGACAGUUCGGUCCCUAUCUGCCGUGGACGUUUGAGAUUUGAGAGGGGCUGCUCCUAGUACGAGAGGACCGGAGUGGACGAACCUCUGGUGUUCCGGUUGUCACGCCAGUGGCAUUGCCGGGUAGCUAUGUUCGGAAAAGAUAACCGCUGAAAGCAUCUAAGCGGGAAACUUGCCUCAAGAUGAGAUCUCACUGGAACCUUGAGUUCCCUAAAGGGCCGUCGAAGACUACGACGUUGAUAGGUUGGGUGUGUAAGCGCUGUGAGGCGUUGAGCUAACCAAUACUAAUUGCCCGUGAGGCUUGACCAUAUAACACC